rnacentral:rRNA from 1 species
UACGUAGGGUGCGAGCGUUGUCCGGAAUUAUUGGGCGUAAAGGGCUCGUAGGCGGUUUGUCGCGUCGGGAGUGAAAACCUUGGGCUUAACUCAGGGCUUGCUUUCGAUACGGGCAGACUAGAGGUAUGCAGGGGAGAACGGAAUUCCUGGUGUAGCGGUGAAAUGCGUAGAUAUCGUUUGGAACGCCAAAGGUGAAAACAGACAGCUGGGAGUGUGCUGACGCUGAGACACGAAAGCCAGGGGAGCGAACGGG